CUACUGUUUACGGAAGUGCGUGUACGUGCUAACGUUUCUUGGAAACAGUGCGCGCGAAUCAUCAUUUAGUUUUACGUUUAGUCAUUAUUCCUGCUACGAAGCUUUGCAAAAGGUAUUCCAAUCUCUCCAGAAAUGAAACGCCGCUUUAUAAUAAUAAUAAACGACAUGUAAAACAAAUAUGUUUAUUUUUGUGCUGAAACGUUGCAACACUCACCCACUGAAACCAUUUCUUCUGCUGCCUGCGCCUCAGUCAGCGGGAGUCACAGCGCCACCCAGCGACUCGAAGUCAGUGGGAAACGCUCGAUCUUUCAGAUGUGCUUUCCUCGACCAUAUUCUGAGCUCGCCAAGCCUGCCAUGCUGAACCCGUUCUCUCCAUGACAUCCGCUGCGGCAUUAGGAGCUGACCUUAGUGGAUUACUGGACAGGAAGUCCUACAAGGUGACAGGUUCUGAUUACAGGAAAUUCACCUGCUGUAUUUUCUUUAAAUUGUCCCGACAACUGAGAGCGACGUGUGCAAGAACAUCCAGAAGAACCUAACUGCCCUGACUGAUAGGGGUGAGUGCGUUCUGCUCCGGUUUACGCUAUGCUGCAGUUAUCAUGCUGCGAUUAAGAGUCCUGUUAUAACAGGUACUGGAA